UACGAAGGGGGGCUAGCGUUGUUCGGAAUUACUGGGCGUAAAGGGCUCGUAGGUGGCCAACUAAGUCGGACGUGAAAUCCCUCGGCUUAACCGGGGAACUGCGUCCGAUACUGGAUGGCUUGAGUUUGGGAGAGGGAUGCGGAAUUCCAGGUGUAGCGGUGAAAUGCGUAGAUAUCUGGAGGAACACCGGUGGCGAAGGCGGCAUCCUGGACCAACACUGACACUGAGGAGCGAAAGCCAGGGGAGCAAACGGG
rnacentral:rRNA from 1 species